GUAUAGCUCAGUGGUAGAGCACCUGCCUUGCAUUCAUGAGGCCCUGGGUUCCAUACCCAGUAC
rnacentral:tRNA from 1 species